rnacentral:tRNA from 1 species
GCUUAGCUGGCUCAGUUGGUUGAGCAUGCAGGUAUGGGACUCUUGAUUUUGGUGUUGUGAGUUCAAGUCCCAUGUUAGGCA